CUACGGGCUGCAGCAGUGAGGAAUAUUGCGCAAUGAGCGAAAGCUAGACGCAGCAACGCCGCGUGAGCGAAGAAGGCCUUCGGGUUGUAAAGCUCUUUUCUGUGUGAAGAGAAGGACGGUAGCACAGGAAUAAGUGUCGGCUAACUACGUGCCAGCAGCCGCGGUAAAACGUAGGACGCAAGCGUUAUCCGGAUUUACUGGGCGUAAAGCGCGUGCAGGCGGUCAGUUAAGUUAUGCGUGAAAGCUCCCGGCUCAACCGGGGGAGGUCGUAUAAAACGGAUUGACUUGAAGGCAGCAGAGGCGUGUGGAAUUCCAGGUGUAGUGGUGAAAUGCGUAGAUAUCUGGGGGAACACCAGUGGCGAAGGCGACACGCUGGGCUGUACUUGACGCUAAGACGCGAAAGCGUGGGUAGCGAACGGGAUUAGAUACCCCUGUAGUC
rnacentral:rRNA from 1 species